rnacentral:rRNA from 1 species
CUAGCCGUAAACGAUGGAUACUAGGCGUUGUGAGUAUCGACCCUCACAGUGUCGUAGCUAACGCAUUAAGUAUCCCGCCUGGGGAGUACGCGCGCAAGCGUGAAACUCAAAGGAAUUGACGGGGGCCCGCACAAGCGGUGGAGUAUGUGGUUUAAUUCGAUGCAACGCGAAGAACCUUACCAGGACUUGACAUGUCGCGAAUCUCAGGGAAACUUGAGAGUGCCUUCGGGAGCGCGAACACAGGUGGUGC